rnacentral:rRNA from 1 species
GGCGGCGGCCUAACACAUGCAAGUCGAACGAAGUCUUCGGACUUAGUGGCGGACGGGUGAGUAACGCGUGGGAACAUACCCAAAGGUACGGAAUAGCCUCGGGAAACUGGGAGUAAUACCGUAUGUGCCCUUCGGGGGAAAGAUUUAUCGCCUUUGGAUUGGCCCGCGUUGGAUUAGGUAGUUGGUGGGGUAAUGGCCUACCAAGCCGACGAUCCAUAGCUGGUUUGAGAGGAUGAUCAGCCACACUGGGACUGAGACACGGCCCAGACUCCUACGGGAGGCAGCAGUGGGGAAUCUUAGACAAUGGGCGCAAGCCUGAUCUAGCCAUGCCGCGUGAUCGAUGAAGGCCUUAGGGUUGUAAAGAU